CCUACGGGAGGCAGCAGUGGGGAAUAUUGCACAAUGGGGGAAACCCUGAUGCAGCGACGCCGCGUGAGUGAAGAAGGAAUUCGUUAUGUAAAGCUCUAUCAGCAGGGAAGAAAAUUACGGUACUUGAGUAAGAAGCUCCGGCUAACUCCGUGCCAGCAGCCGCGGUAAUACGUAGGGGGCAAGCGUUAUCCGGAUUUACUGGGUGUAACGGGAGCGUAGACGGCAGUGCAAGUCUGGAGUGAAAGGCGGGGGCUCAACCCCCGGACUGCUCAGGAAACUGUACGGCUGGAGUGCAGGAGAGGUAAGUGGAAUUCCUAGUGUAGCAGUGAAAUGCGUAGAUAUUAGGAGGAACACCAGUGGCGAAGGCGGCUUACUGGGAUGUAACUGACGUUGAGGCUCGAAAGCGUGGGGAGCAAACAGGAUUAGAUACCCCGGUAGUC
rnacentral:rRNA from 1 species